GUUCAGACUGAGCGUGGAUUUUGAGGUCAUCAACCAGUGACGCUGAAGUUCACACAUGCAUCUUUUGUUAGCCUGAAAAUUCUGCAGCUGCUAAAUGUUUUCCAAAGGACUUAGAGAGGACACAGAUAUUACCCACGUACGCCGUGUGACGUCAUCGAC
rnacentral:lncRNA from 1 species